GAUGAACGCUAGCUACAGGCUUAACACAUGCAAGUCGAGGGGCAGCAUGGUCUUAGCUUGCUAAGGCCGAUGGCGACCGGCGCACGGGUGAGUAACACGUAUCCAACCUGCCGUCUACUCUUGGACAGCCUUCUGAAAGGAAGAUUAAUACAAGAUGGCAUCAUGAGUCCACAUGUUCACAUGAUUAAAGGUAUUCCGGUAGACGAUGGGGAUGCGUUCCAUUAGAUAGUAGGCGGGGUAACGGCCCACCUAGUCUUCGAUGGAUAGGGGUUCUGAGAGGAAGGUCCCCCACAUUGGAACUGAGACACGGUCCAAACUCCUACGGGAGGCAGCAGUGAGGAAUAUUGGUCAAUGGGCGAGAGCCUGAACCAGCCAAGUAGCGUGAAGGAUGACUGCCCUAUGGGUUGUAAACUUCUUUUAUAAAGGAAUAAAGUCGGGUAUGCAUACCCGUUUGCAUGUACUUUAUGAAUAAGGAUCGGCUAACUCCGUGCCAGCAGCCGCGGUAAUACGGAGGAUCCGAGCGUUAUCCGGAUUUAUUGGGUUUAAAGGGAGCGUAGAUGGAUGUUUAAGUCAGUUGUGAAAGUUUGCGGCUCAACCGUAAAAUUGCAGUUGAUACUGGAUAUCUUGAGUGCAGUUGAGGCAGGCGGAAUUCGUGGUGUAGCGGUGAAAUGCUUAGAUAUCACGAAGAACUCCGAUUGCGAAGGCAGCCUGCUAAGCUGCAACUGACAUUGAGGCUCGAAAGUGUGGGUAUCAAACAGGAUUAGAUACCCUGGUAGUCCACACGGUAAACGAUGAAUACUCGCUGUUUGCGAUAUACAGCAAGCGGCCAAGCGAAAGCGUUAAGUAUUCCACCUGGGGAGUACGCCGGCAACGGUGAAACUCAAAGGAAUUGACGGGGGCCCGCACAAGCGGAGGAACAUGUGGUUUAAUUCGAUGAUACGCGAGGAACCUUACCCGGGCUUAAAUUGCAGAUGAAUUACGGUGAAAGCCGUAAGCCGCAAGGCAUCUGUGAAGGUGCUGCAUGGUUGUCGUCAGCUCGUGCCGUGAGGUGUCGGCUUAAGUGCCAUAACGAGCGCAACCCUUGUUGUCAGUUACUAACAGGUCAUGCUGAGGACUCUGACAAGACUGCCAUCGUAAGAUGUGAGGAAGGUGGGGAUGACGUCAAAUCAGCACGGCCCUUACGUCCGGGGCUACACACGUGUUACAAUGGGGGGUACAGAGGGCCGCUACCACGCGAGUGGAUGCCAAUCCCAAAAACCUCUCUCAGUUCGGACUGGAGUCUGCAACCCGACUCCACGAAGCUGGAUUCGCUAGUAAUCGCGCAUCAGCCACGGCGCGGUGAAUACGUUCCCGGGCCUUGUACACACCGCCCGUCAAGCCAUGGGAGCCGGGGGUACCUGAAGUGCGUAACCGCGAGGAGCGCCCUAGGGUAAAACUGGUGACUGGGGCU
rnacentral:rRNA from 1 species